rnacentral:rRNA from 1 species
AUGACGAAAGUGGCAUGUGGACCUGAAAACCUUGACUUUAUAAGCACAGACAUGAAAAAUCGUGUGUACUCAAAGAGGACACUAAAAGCAAAGGUGGGUGACAUAGGUGGAGUGUUAGAAUAUAUGGAGAAGAAGGUUUCAGAAGAUGUCAAGUUUUUUAAUUCAAUUCAAGUUGAUGAGGAUGAUUUGAUAACUAAUAUAUUUUGGACGGACUCCAACAUGGUCUCAGACUAUGCAUUAUUUGGUGAUGUCAUAUGCUUUGACACCACAUACAGGAAACUAGACGAUGGGCGUCUGUUUGGUUUAGUUGUUGGUGUGAAUAAUCACAAGAAAACAAUUUGUUUGGUGCUGCACUUCUCUAUGAUGAAACAGCAGAAAGUUUUGCUUGGCAUUUUAGAACAUUUUUAA